UGGAAUUCGCUCGUCGUUCGCCUGCGAUUGCCGUAUUUUCAUACAUACAUUGCACAUGAACGGGCCCGGACUGAAUUUGUUCGUUCGCUUUUUUUUCUGCUGCUGCUGCUGUUGUUCCAACCAGUCAAUCGUCAUUGUUUUUCGCAUCGAUUUCGUGUGUUCGCGUUCGAGGCUCGUUCACUUUGAGUGAUCGCGCGCGUACAAGUGACUCUCCGAACGAUUUGAUUUUUAUUUAUUUUUUCCACUUCGAUUUUUGUUUUCAUUCGGUGUGAAUUGAAAUUGCAACGAAAAAAAAACGCAAGUAAUAUCAAUAAUACAAGUGAAGACAAAAAAGAGAUAGAAAAAAGUCAACAACAAAUUUAUUACUCGUUUAUCCAAUUAUGCGAAUAGUAAAUAGAACCGUUGAAGUGGGCACAUUGAAAAAUACGUGCUAGUUUCUAACCAUUUAAGACUAAUACAUAGACGAAAAAAAAAAACUUUGCUAUUGCACAGUUCAGUUCAGUGGAGAGAUUUUGUUGGUAAACAAAUAGUGAGUUGCAGUCGCAAUUUUGCAACAACAAAAAAUAGACGUUCCGAAGUCAAUGACCAAUAUAGAGAAAAAAGCAAAUAAAAAUCGACAUAAAUAGUGAUAUUGGACAUUGGCAUCGAAAUAGAUCCGGUGCGUGGGACACUCUCUCCAAAUAAGAUAGCAUUAAGCGCAAAAGUACGCAUGGUUCAGUGCGAAAGGAGUUGCAUCGCUGGUGGACAUGCAUUUACAUCGGGAAAAUCAUACGACAUUCAUGAUAAACUAAACUAUUGAACUUGACCAAGUGACACCCAAGAAAUACGGAGACCAAAACGAUUUCAAGGACAUUCAAAUGCUGAAUUGUUGCGGUUGGAACGCCUCCUGAAAACCCGAACAACCAAGUGGAACGAACGAGAGAAAACGAUACCAAAUCAACUUUACAUAAUUCUUUUAUUUUGUUUUUAAAUUCGAUAAAUUUUAACGAAAAUUUUAUAACGCCAAAAUGACAGUCGUGUCGAAAUAUUUGGACGAAGCGAUCGUUCGCUAUGAAAAAAUGGGGUUCUCUAAACAUGCCCUGUCGAAGGGAAUUGUGACCAUCGCCGUCGGUGCAUAUGUGGCACACAUUUCAUACCCAUAUCUUAGCAAAAUGAUUAAAGCAGCCAAUUUGGCGCCAGUCCUUUCGGAAACAGCCAGUACAACUGAUGACGACACAUCCGAUUCAGAUUUUGAUUCCGAAUCGGAUGAUUAUGAAAGUGCAAUCGAAAGCAAUAAUAUCAAUAGCAACCGCAUUGAUCGUAAAAAUAUUGACACCACUCUUCCCGAUGGGACAACGAAACUGGAUGGCGAUGAUAAUUUAGACAAUGAUGAAACGGCGCAAGGUGUUGAAACCGAUACCGGUGAUCGACUGACGGUUCCGACUGGCAAACGAAAAAGGAAACAUUCAAAGGUCAUCAAGCAGCAAAUUAAGCAAGCGGAAAAAUUCUUAGCCCAAGCCACUCAGGAACGAAAAAAAUCGGAACAAGUGGGGAAUUUAUCGUUUAGCCAAUUGGAAGAGCGACGAAUAGGGUUGAAUUUAGAAUUUUUAUUCAAAUUAAAGCGACUCAUACACAUAAUGAUACCGCGGAUUUGGUGCCGUGAAAUUGGCAUUCUCGGUGUGCAUACGGCUUGCUUAAUAUCACGAACAUUUCUCAGCAUCUAUGUAGCGGCUAUCGAAGGUUCGAUCGUGAAAUUUAUCGUGCGACGUGACUUACGGCAAUUCAUAAUGGGCCUUAUGAAAUGGUUUAGCAUUGCGAUACCGGCUACAUUUAUCAACUCCAUGAUUCGCUAUUUAGAGAACAAAUUAGCUUUAUCGUUUAGAACGAGAUUGGUGAAUCAUUCGUACAAAUUGUAUUUUAAAAAUCAAACUUAUUACCGGGUAGCGAAUCUAGACGGUCGAAUUGAAAAUGCAGAUCACAGAUUGACUGAAGAUAUUUCAGUGUUUACAAGUUCAAUUGCGCACUUGUACAGCCACUUAACGAAACCUUGCUUUGAUUUAAUGCUGAUCGGACUGGCGCUGAUGCGUUCAUCGCGCAAAAUGAAGGCGAACAUUGUGACUGGCCCGGCAUUAGCUUUUGUUGUUAUCUCAGCAACGGCUUUAAUUCUACGGCAAUUGUCACCGAAAUUCGGUCAAUUGGUAGCGGAAGAGGCAACUCGUUAUGGUUACUUACGGCACGUGCAUGCCCGAGUCAUCACAAAUGCAGAAGAAAUUGCUUUCUAUGGUGGUCAACGUGUGGAAUUGAUGCAAUUGCGUGAAGCAUUCCGUCGACUUGCCAAUCAAAUGAACAUCAUCUACACACAACGCUUGUGGUUUGUGAUGCUCGAGCAAUUCUUCAUGAAGUACGUGUGGUCAGGAACGGGAAUGAUAAUGAUCAGUUUGCCGGUCUUAAUGGGCAACCAAAAUCAACCACACAACAACUCAUUGUCAACUGCGGCCACGGUUUCAGACGAUGGAAUCAGUGACCGAACGCAAUACUUGACAACAGCCAGAAAUCUCUUGAUAUCGGGCGCUGAUGCAAUCGAACGUCUGAUGUCAUCGUACAAAGAGAUUGUCGCUUUGGCGGGCUACACUUACCGAGUGGCUGGUAUGCUCGAAGUCUUUGAUGACACUGCCCAUGGUCGAUACAAUAAAGUAAUGAUGGCCGAAGGCCGUAACAAUGCGGGCAUUAUUGAAUUCCGUAACGGACAACCAGUGACUAAGGGCCGUAUCAUUGUUAAUACCGAUCCAAAUGAUCGAUCCAUUUCAUUGAAUAAUGUGCCUGUCGUAACACCCAACUGCGACAUUGUUGUGCCCAGUCUUACACUUCGUAUUGAGCCUGGUAUGCAUCUUUUGAUCACGGGACCAAAUGGCUGUGGCAAAUCAUCACUGUUCCGCAUUGUUAACGGACUCUGGCCCAUCUAUGGCGGUGAACUUUACAUCCCAAAACCAAUCGUCGGCAAACCAAGCAUGUUUUACAUUCCACAAAGACCAUACCUUACGAUUGGCAAUUUGCGCGAUCAAAUCAUUUAUCCAGACACCGUUGAUGAUAUGCUGUCGAAAAAAUACGACGAAGAUAUGCUGCAUGAUAUCAUGAAAACCGUCUCACUUGAACACAUCGUAGCUAGAGACAGUUUUGAUGUCGUUCGGGAUUGGAAAGAUAUUUUAUCAGGUGGAGAGAAGCAAAGAAUGGCUAUCGCUCGACUAUUCUAUCACAAGCCGCAAUACGCUUUGCUGGACGAGUGCACCAGUGCAGUAUCGAUCGAUGUGGAGAGUUCAAUUUACGAAGCAGCCAAAACGGCUGGUAUUACUCUGCUAACAAUUACACAUCGACCGACGCUUUGGAAAUUCCACACGCAUAUAUUGCAAUUCGAUGGGCAAGGUGGAUGGGAUUUCAAGGCGUUGUCUGAAAACGAUACUCAACAAAAGGUUCCUUUGAAUAAGAAGCAAUGAAAUUAGAACAUGAAUAAAAUUAACAAGCCACAAAUAGAAAUUCAACGUGAUAAACAAAAUCAAAAAAAAAGCAACAAUUCAAAAGAAAUACAUUUUUUUCUAUUCGAACAAAAUGAAACGACACCACAGUCAAAAAAAAAAUCCAUUACCAAUACUGUGUACUUUAUUGGACAUUUGUAUGGUAUUUUGAGACCUUAAAAAAUUCGGAGUUGAACAAAUGGAACGGCCAAUUAGAUGUUAUAAACGUAAUUUACUUCAAUUGUCCCAUGUAGGUGACUGUUUUGACUGAGGAAACGUCGGUUUGAAGCAUUAAAAGGAGCAAAGUUACAAAUUGGCCAUGAUUUCAUGAUUGAAAUCAUAGUCUUACUCAUUUUAAAGUUCAAAAAGUCAGCGAUUUAGAGUUCGAAAUAUGAUUUGCACGGCAAAUCAUGUGUCUUAAUUAAUCUUUUAUUUUCUUUAAAAUGAUAUAAUGAAAAGCGAAUUAAGUUCGUUCAUAUUUGUAUUGCAUAAUUAUUCUCUGUGGAAUAAAGUUCAUUGCAGAACCCAUUGUUGGCAUUGAAUAGCUGAUUUGAAAGGUAAUUUAAAUAGAUUUGAAAAGGAAACACAGUUAGAUUUUAAAGGUAAUUGAUGUUUAAUUUGUUCGACUCCAAUCAAUUGCUCGUUCUAAAAUAAUGGUAAUUUAAUAUGAUUGAGCAAAUGUUUUGAUUUUACAAAAACAUUCAAGUCCAUAUUAUGAAGCAAACGACGUCAUAUGCAAUAAUGCACAACUGUUCUGUGUUUCAAAACAGGUGUUGUUCAUAAUUUUCAAAACAUCAACAAUAAAUCGUGUUAUUUACGGUGAAAA